rnacentral:piRNA from 1 species
UCCCUUGCACCUUUUAUUUACCAAGUC